UUCUUUGAUCCCCGUCUUUUUCUUUUCUUUUUCUUUUUACAUCCACACAACCAUGAGCCUUUUCUUUGUUUUUUCUAUCUUUUCUUUUUCUUUGCUCUAUGGUUUCAAUGGUGAUUUAUUUUUCUUGUUUCUUUUCAUAUUUUCACCCUUUCAUAAAAACUCACUUUUCCAAGUUUCUAAUCAAAUCUUUUUACUUUACUCUCCCCAACUUUAGAUUCCAAAACCAAAUUUAUUCAAUAAUGCUCCCUACUUAGACA
rnacentral:lncRNA from 1 species